rnacentral:lncRNA from 1 species
GAGAAGCGACCCCUUGAGGGUCCCUAUGGGACCCCACCGUGAAGGGGUUUCUAGUGUACUUACACCCUUCCCAGAGUUUUUCUCUGUGCAAAAUUAGAAAGCUCUGCACUUGGCUUAACAAAAGAAACCCAAUCCCUUUCCCUGGCCCCACCCUGGUCUCCCAGCGCCCAGCUUUUCCCACCCUGCCGCCCCCUACCCCUGCCCCAGCUGAGGUCCCAGUUUCUGCUAUGAUAUUCGGGAGGGGUCCUCCAAUGUGUCCCCAUGCAAAGGCCUAAACCCUUGAGGCAGGAGCACUGUGUCGGGAGACCUUCAUAACCAGGAAAACUCUUUCCCAACCUGGGGUCCUUGAGGGGGAGGCCUGGGCGCCUCAAACCCCAGAAAGCAGCAGGUUUUGAACCUUUAGUUCCGAGAGGGGCUGGAUCAUUCUGGAGAAGGGAGACUAUCCUCGCUGGAGCGCCUGGAGUGGCAGCAGCAGCCACAACAGCAACCAGCUGCUGUCCUUCCGGCCAGUACUCUGCGCGGUGAGCACAGCCCACUUCUCCUCCCCUGCCUCCUAGCUCCAGGCCCCGGCCUCACCAUGGCACCUAGAAAGGCUGUUCAAGCCCUGCAUGGGGGGUGUGUAAACAAACUCCGAGAUGGGUGGUAGUAGCAUUAUUUCUCAGAAUCAGAAGGGUGUCUCCAAGAAAGUUGGGAUUGUGGGCGUAGGCCCGGAGCCCAGAAAUCAUCACCACGGACAGCGCUGAGGCCAUCCCAGUCCUGAGCGCCCAGGGUUCCCCCACAUUCCAUCGUCCACACGUGUGAGUGAGUGCCUCUGUCGUCACACAGCCAUGUGAGGUCAGGGUGACUGCUGUUAGCCCCAUACACAGGUGUGGAAAUGGGGCUCAAAGGGACAAAGUGGCUUGCCCAGGGUCACUGAAAAGAGUCAGUCUCAGUGUGUUUGUGUGUGUGUUAUUGUGUGUGUAAGCGUGUGAUGCCCUGACAUGUCUAUUCUGAUUCUGCCACCCAGUACCUCUUAGCUGGGCACUAAUC